GUUUUAAUCUCUUUCUUAACUGUUCCUCUCAGAAAGCUUAUGGAAGACUAAUGAAGAUAACCUCGUACCAGCUCACCCUUUACCUGCGUUAGAAUUCCCAGAUGCAUUUUCUGCCGGUGUUUGUGCCCAGGGAAGCUCACCCCAAUGGACUGCAGCUCCCUGGCUACUUGGCAAGUGACUUCGCAUUGGACUUGACCAAUAGGAGGCCUUGGAAGAAGACUGGAGGAAGGAACUGCAGAUGAGGUUGCUUCUCCUUCCACACCGUGCCAUGCCAUGCCCAGGACAGAAAGGAGCAAGGGUGAAGAAAAACACCAUGGAAUUCCCUACCAUUUUGAAGGUGGCUUUUUCUUCACUGGACAUUUACUUGGUUGCUAUGGAUCUUUGACUGAUUUCCAGAGCUCCUAUAAAGAUAUUUUAAUUCAUUUCUAGGUGUUUAAUUAGUGUUUUCAAAGAGCAACAAGUGUUUACAGCUUCCUUGCCUGUCAUUUUUCUGAUAUAACUCUGAAGUCUGAGUUUUACCACAUCUAUAGAUUUGUGUAAUCAAGAUAAAGUUAAUCAGGAUACAUUAGCA